GACGAACGCUGGCGGUGUGCUUAACACAUGCAAGUCGUGCGACGAACCAGACUUCGGUCUGGGGCAAAGCGGCGAACGGGUGAGUAACACGUGGGUAAUCUGCCCCGAUGACUGGGACAACCCGAGGAAACUCGGGCUAAUACCGGAUGUGGUGCCUGGACUCAAGUCCGGUCACUAAAGGUAGCUUCGGCUUCCGCAUUGGGAGGGGCCCGCGGCCCAUUAGCUUGUUGGUGGGGUCAAGGCCUACCAAGGCAACGAUGGGUAGCUGGUCUGAGAGGACGAUCAGCCACACUGGGACUGAGACACGGCCCAGACUCCUACGGGAGGCAGCAGUGGGGAAUCUUGCGCAAUGCGCGAAAGCGUGACGCAGCAACACCGCGUGAGGGAAGACGGCCUUAGGGUUGUAAACCUCUUUCAGAUGGGACGAAGGUGAUGCGGUGAAUAGCCGAUGUCAUUGACGGUACCGUCAGAAGAAAGCUCCGGCUAACUACGUG
rnacentral:rRNA from 1 species